GAUGAACGCUGGCUACAGGCUUAACACAUGCAAGUCGAGGGGAAACGACAUCGAAAGCUUGCUUUUGAUGGGCGUCGACCGGCGCACGGGUGAGUAACGCGUAUCCAACCUGCCCAUCACUUGGGAAUAACCUUGCGAAAGUAAGACUAAUACCCAAUGACAUCCCACGAAGACAUCUGAAUGGGAUUAAAGAUUUAUCGGUGAUGGAUGGGGAUGCGUCUGAUUAGCUUGUUGGCGGGGUAACGGCCCACCAAGGCAACGAUCAGUAGGGGUUCUGAGAGGAAGGUCCCCCACAUUGGAACUGAGACACGGUCCAAACUCCUACGGGAGGCAGCAGUGAGGAAUAUUGGUCAAUGGGCGAGAGCCUGAACCAGCCAAGUAGCGUGCAGGAGGACGGCCCUAUGGGUUGUAAACUGCUUUUAUAAGGGAAUAAAGUGGGUCUCGUGAGACUUUUUGCAUGUACCUUAUGAAUAAGGACCGGCUGAUUCCGUG
rnacentral:rRNA from 1 species